GGCGGUGGGGACGGUGGCUGGCGCUGAGGGGGAUCGCUCGGACGCUCCCUGCCUCCGUCUCAUUUAAAGCCCUCGCCAAACAAUGAGGAAAGGCGUUUAUUUACAAACACCUUCUUGUGCGGACACUGGGCAAAAGCGCCGAGCUCUCCCCGCUUUUAUGUCCGUACCAUGUCUGUGUUUGCUGGGGCGGAGCGCCCUGUCGCCAGAGUUGCCUUAUUUACUGCAAGAUGUAAACAGGAAUUUACCCUUUCCGUGGUUUAUUUGCUUCCUUAGGCCUUUCCCCAGUACGAAGACUGGCAGGAGGGGCUGGCUGUCCCUUUUCGUCCCCUCUGGCCCCACUGACAGAGAUGCCAGGAGUGACAAGGGAAGCCGGGAUGUUUCCUCGCAGCUCCAUUUAAUUCCUUUUGUCAGCUCCUCUUAAGAGAACUGGACAACUAGAUUUGAUCAUGUUCCCUGAUGCUUUUUUGGAUCGAAGAAGGGUUGCAGCAAAACUGGAUACAGCAGUCUUCAUUUCCUGUCCUCGCUCCGGAAUCCUUGCUGCUAAGGCCUGGCUUUUCUUCCAUUGAAGGAGAUAGGAGCUUUGCCACAGGCUGCAGUGACAGCAGGAGGAGAGCAGACACAGAUUAGGGUUCUUUCUAGCUGUCCUGUCCUAAAAAUGCCAGCUGCUUGGCUGAAGGUGCCCUGCAGUCAGCCACGUGUGGCAGGCCUCGCGCCUUAACGAAGAUCCCAACAAGCAAACAGCACUACUCUCUGGAUGCAUCGGAAAAGCACUUCUGGGUGCCCAUCAAAAAACCACCAAACAGCAGUCGGAGGAGGAAGAACAUCCAUGCUCCAUCUCUGUGACGCCAAGAUACGCUUCGGAAUGCGGGGGGGGGAAAAAAAGAAGCAUCGACUGCCAAGAGCAUUUGGAUAACAGACACUGGAGCUCAGAGCCUUAUCCUGUAAACAUCACCUAGAUGACGCCACGGCAAGGAGUCAGUUUGAAGUCGACUCCAUUACGGAUAAUCAGCAUUGUUCAAACUGGAGCAGGUCCACAACUCUUACUUUACAGCCUAAAACUGCUUUUAUCCCACAAAAAAAAAAUCAGUUGCCAUGCCAGUUCAUUGACCUUGCAGGGAUGCUGUUUUUAAGGGUGCUCAGACAUAUCUGAUAUAUCUACAAGAGCCCUGGCCUGUGUCAGGAAUAUCCUCAGGAAAAGUUGUGCAUGUUUAUGGGAAUCUAAGAGUGCUUGUCAUCAAAAUAAAGUUGAAGAAAUUGUUGGCCGUCAUCGCUGGCAUAGCAGACAGGAGCUGUGCCUAGAAAUAGAGAUUGGCAUAGCAACAUUGCUGACUGUUUUGUAGAGAAGGCGGCUUAUUUUUCCAGACUGCGACAUUUAAUAAACUUUUUCUGUUUGUUGAAACGGCAGAACCCCACUAGAUCAAACUAAAUGCUAAUCUGCUGGAGUCGCCACCACAGACUUUUGUCUCCAGUACGUACACAUCACGAGUCACUGUGGUUUCAUGGGUUUUGUCCUGUGACAUUUGUUCCUUUGUGUUCGUCCACGAAAAACGGACAGAACGAAGGCGGAACGUGUUGGAACGGCCCCACAAAUCCUCCAGACGAUGAUGUGUUUCUACCUUGUGGUGAGGGUUCUGUUAAGCUGCGGGCCGAGCGGCCCUGUGGUGCAAGCUCUGAGGAGGCAUCUGCCGGGGGUUCCACAGGCAUCAGCGCCGCUGCCAGCUGCUCCCCUCAGCCCCCGGCUUUCUGCCCGAACCUUGGAGGCACGCCUCCUAAAAACUCUUGAAACACCAGCCCGUAAAUAAACUCGUCGAAGCUUUUGAA